UCCCUGGAGGACUAGUGGUUAGGCCACAGCACUCUCACUGCUGCAGCCCGGGUUUGAUUCCCGGCCAGGGAA
rnacentral:tRNA from 1 species